GUCUAGGUGGUUAGGAUACUCGGCUUUCACCCGAGCGACCCGGGUUCGAGUCCCGG
rfam:Eimeria praecox, Houghton, WGS project CBTT01000000 data, contig: Eph_contig1700_2